rnacentral:rRNA from 1 species
UACGGGGGGAGCAAGCGUUGUUCGGAUUUACUGGGCGUAAAGGGCUCGUAGGCGGCCUGUGCAAGUCAGUUGUGAAAUCUCCGGGCUUAACUCGGAACGGUCAACUGAUACUGCUCGGCUAGAGUGCGGAAGGGGCAACUGGAAUUCUUGGUGUAGCGGUGAAAUGCGUAGAUAUUCGGAGGAACACCAGUGGCGAAGGCGGCUCACUGGCUCGGUACUGACGCUGAGGUGCGAAAGCGUGGGGAGCAAACAGG